ACUUAAAUUGAAGAGUUUGAUCAUGGCUCAGAUUGAACGCUGGCGGCAGGCCUAACACAUGCAAGUCGAGCGGUAGCACAGAGAGCUUGCUCUCGGGUGACGAGCGGCGGACGGGUG
rnacentral:rRNA from 1 species